UCGAGCGCCUCUCUGAAAUACUUCCUCUGCACGUCGAACUGAAAGAUGGUUCUCUCGCAGUCGGUGGAGGCAUUGUCACUUCCUCCGUGCUUCUUCAGGAAGGCGUCAAAACCGUUCUCCGCCGGGUAUUUCUCACUGCCCAUGAACACCACUGAACGAACAGCAGGGAGAGAGAGAAACAUAAAAGAAAAGAAAAAAAAGAAUUUAGUCAAAGAUGCAGGAAAAGGAUUUUCUCCAGGUCAGAACGUUCCAACACCCCGACCGACCCUCAGUUUCUCUCCAGCCCUUGACUCACUGUGUUCCAGGAAGUGGGCGAGGCCGGGCAGGUCGUCCGGGUCACUGAAGCUCCCCACGCUGAUGCACAGAGCCGCUGCCGCCUGGAAGCGCACACACGGAAAAAACAAUCAGCACCCACAUGACGGCUAGAGGGAAACACAUUAUCACGUCAGCCCACCUGCUUCUCGGAGCUCCCUCCCUUCUUCUUCUCCUCUGUGUUCUCCUCGUCCAGCUCCUCAAAGUCGCUGUCCUGCUCCGCUUCUUCCUUGUCCUCCUCGU